rnacentral:rRNA from 1 species
UACGGAGGGUGCAAGCGUUAUCCGGAUUUACUGGGUUUAAAGGGUGCGUAGGUGGGUAGGUAAGUCAGUGGUGAAAUCUUCGAGCUUAACUCGGAAACUGCCAUUGAUACUAUUUACCUUGAAUACUCUGGAGGUAAGCGGAAUAUGUCAUGUAGCGGUGAAAUGCUUAGAUAUGACAUAGAACACCAAUUGCGAAGGCAGCUUACUACAUAGUUAUUGACACUGAGGCACGAAAGCGUGGGGAUCAAACAGG